AGAGUUUGAUCCUGGCUCAGAUUGAACGCUGGCGGCAUGCCUUACACAUGCAAGUCGAACGGCAGCAUGGAGAGCUUGCUCUCUGAUGGCGAGUGGCGAACGGGUGAGUAAUACAUCGGAACGUGUCCGUUUGUGGGGGACAACCGUCCGAAAGGAUGGCUAAUACCGCAUGAGACCUGAGGGUGAAAGCCGGGGACCGCAAGGCCCGGCGCAGACGGAGCGGCCGAUGAUUGAUUAGCUAGUUGGGGAGGUAAAGGCUCACCAAGGCGACGAUCAAUAGCUGGUCUGAGAGGACGACCAGCCACACUGGAACUGAGACACGGUCCAGACUCCUACGGGAGGCAGCAGUGGGGAAUUUUGGACAAUGGGGGCAACCCUGAUCCAGCCAUGCCGCGUGCGGGAAGAAGGCCUUCGGGUUGUAAACCGCUUUUGUCAGGGACGAAAAGCUCCGGAGUAAUAUGCCGGAGUGCUGACGGUACCUGAAGAAUAAGCACCGGCUAACUACGUGCCAGCAGCCGCGGUAAUACGUAGGGUGCAAGCGUUAAUCGGAAUUACUGGGCGUAAAGCGUGCGCAGGCGGUUGGGUAAGACAGAUGUGAAAUCCCCGGGCUUAACCUGGGAACUGCAUUUGUGACUGUCCGACUGGAGUACGUCAGAGGGGGGUGGAAUUCCACGUGUAGCAGUGAAAUGCGUAGAUAUGUGGAAGAACACCGAUGGCGAAGGCAGCCCCCUGGGACGCAACUGACGCUCAUGCACGAAAGCGUGGGGAGCAAACAGGAUUAGAUACCCUGGUAGUCCACGCCCUAAACGAUGUCUACUAGUUGUUGGGAGAGCAAUCUCUUGGUAACGCAGCUAACGCGUGAAGUAGACCGCCUGGGGAGUACGCUCGCAAGAUUAAAACUCAAAGGAAUUGACGGGGACCCGCACAAGUAGCGGAGCAUGUGGUUUAAUUCGAAGCAACGCGAAGAACCUUACCUAAGCUUGACAUCCUUUUGACCGAUGCCUAAUCGCAUCUUUCCCUUCGGGGACAGAAGUGACAGGUGGUGCAUGGUUGUCGUCAGCUCGUGUCGUGAGAUGUUGGGUUAAGUC
rnacentral:rRNA from 1 species